rnacentral:rRNA from 1 species
GAUGAACGCUGGCGGCGUGCCUAAUACAUGCAAGUCGAGCGAACGGACGAGAAGCUUGCUUCUCUGAUGUUAGCGGCGGACGGGUGAGUAACACGUGGAUAACCUACCUAUAAGACUGGGAUAACUUCGGGAAACCGGAGCUAAUACCGGAUAAUAUUUUGAACCGCAUGGUUCAAAAGUGAAAGACGGUCUUGCUGCCACUUAUAGAUGGAUCCGCGCUGCAUUAGCUAGUUGGUAAGGUAACGGCUUACCAAGGCAACGAUGCAUAGCCGACCUGAGAGGGUGAUCGGCCACACUGGAACUGAGACACGGUCCAGACUCCUACGGGAGGCAGCAGUAGGGAAUCUUCCGCAAUGGGCGAAAGCCUGACGGAGCAACGCCGCGUGAGUGAUGAAGGUCUUCGGAUCGUAAAACUCUGUUAUUAGGGAAGGACAAAUGUGUAAGUAACUAUGCACGUCUUGACGGUACCUAAUCAGAAAGCCACGGCUAACUACGUGCCAGCAGCCGCGGUAAUACGUAGGUGGCAAGCGUUAUCCGGAAUUAUUGGGCGUAAAGCGCGCGUAGGCGGUUUUUUAAGUCUGAUGUGAAAGCCCACGGCUCAACCGUGGAGGGUCAUUGGAAACUGGAAAACUUGAGUGCAGAAGAGGAGAGUGGAAUUCCAUGUGUAGCGGUGAAAUGCGCAGAGAUAUGGAGGAACACCAGUGGCGAAGGCGACUUUCUGGUCUGUAACUGACGCUGAUGUGCGAAAGCGUGGGGAUCAAACAGGAUUAGAUACCCUGGUAGUCCACGCCGUAAACGAUGAGUGCUAAGUGUUAGGGGGUUUCCGCCCCUUAGUGCUGCAGCUAACGCAUUAAGCACUCCGCCUGGGGAGUACGACCGCAAGGUUGAAACUCAAAGGAAUUGACGGGGACCCGCACAAGCGGUGGAGCAUGUGGUUUAAUUCGAAGCAACGCGAAGAACCUUACCAAAUCUUGACAUCCUCUGACCCCUCUAGAGAUAGAGUUUUCCCCUUCGGGGGACAGAGUGACAGGUGGUGCAUGGUUGUCGUCAGCUCGUGUCGUGAGAUGUUGGGUUAAGUCCCGCAACGAGCGCAACCCUUAAGCUUAGUUGCCAUCAUUAAGUUGGGCACUCUAAGUUGACUGCCGGUGACAAACCGGAGGAAGGUGGGGAUGACGUCAAAUCAUCAUGCCCCUUAUGAUUUGGGCUACACACGUGCUACAAUGGACAAUACAAAGGGCAGCGAAACCGCGAGGUCAAGCAAAUCCCAUAAAGUUGUUCUCAGUUCGGAUUGUAGUCUGCAACUCGACUAUAUGAAGCUGGAAUCGCUAGUAAUCGUAGAUCAGCAUGCUACGGUGAAUACGUUCCCGGGUCU